rnacentral:rRNA from 1 species
CCUACGGGUGGCUGCAGUGAGGAAUAUUGGUCAAUGGCCGGAAGGCUGAACCAGCCAAGCCGCGUGAAGGACGAAUGUGCCAAGCAUUGUAAACUUCUUUUGUCAAGGGACAAAAUCAGGCUCGAGAGCCUGUCCGAGGGUACUUUACGAAAAAGCAUCGGCUAACUCCGUGCCAGCAGCCUCGGUAAUACGGAGGAUGCGAGAGUUAUCCGGAUUUAUUGGGUUUAACGGGUGCGUAGGCGGACUGUUAAGUCAGCGGUAAACGCCCGGGGCUCAACCCCGGCGAGCCGUUGAAACUGGCUGUCUAGAGAUGGCGAGAGGUAUGCGGAAUACGCAGUGUAGCGGUGAAAUGCUUAGAUAUUGCGCAGAACUCCGAUUGCGAAGGCAGCAUACCGGCGGCGAACUGACGCUGAGGCACGAAAGCGUGGGUAUCGAACAGGAUUAGAUACCCUGGUAGUC